CCUACGGGAGGCAGCAGUGGGGAAUUUUGGACAAUGGGGGCAACCCUGAUCCAGCCAUGCCGCGUGUCUGAAGAAGGCCUUCGGGUUGUAAAGGACUUUUGUUAGGGAAGAAAAGGGAAGUGUUAAUACCACUUUUUGCUGACGGUACCUAAAGAAUAAGCACCGGCUAACUACGUGCCAGCAGCCGCGGUAAUACGUAGGGUGCGAGCGUUAAUCGGAAUUACUGGGCGUAAAGCGAGCGCAGACGGUUACUUAAGCAGGAUGUGAAAUCCCCGGGCUCAACCUGGGAACUGCGUUCUGAACUGGGUAGCUAGAGUAUGUCGGAGGGGGGUAGAAUUCCACGUGUAGCAGUGAAAUGCGUAGAGAUGUGGAGGAAUACCGAUGGCGAAGGCAGCCCCCUGGGAUAAUACUGACGUUCAUGCUCGAAAGCGUGGGUAGCAAACAGGAUUAGAUACCCUGGUAGUCCACGCCCUAAACGAUGUCGAUUAGCUGUUGGGCAACUUGAUUGCUUAGUAGCGUAGCUAACGCGUGAAAUCGACCGCCUGGGGAGUACGGUCGCAAGAUUAAAACUCAAAGGAAUUGACGG
rnacentral:rRNA from 1 species